CGACUUAUCUCAUUAACAAAUAAAACGAGAGCGACGGGCGAUGUGUACAUAUCUCAGAACCAAUUAUCACAAAAACAAUCUUCAAAACAUUACAAUCAAAUCCAAUUUCAUGCUAGUAAUUAAAACCAACAAUCCAAAUAAAACAAAUAACAAUGUAACCCACCAAUACACUUAGAGAAAGCUGCACCUUGACCUGAAAUUAAACCAAAUAAAGGAACAAGAAAAUUAUAUAGCCCUAAAAAGAUAAUCAAUAAACGGCGGUAUACAAACCAAUAAACAACUAAGUAAGGUCCAACGUGGACUAUCGAUAACGAGACAGGUUCCUCUGAGCGGAAUAAGAUACCGCCAAAUUCUUUAAGUUUCAAGAACAUAACUAAUACUACUCAGGCAAAACAUUAACAUCCAAAAAUAAUAGGGUAUCUAAUCCUAGUUU
rnacentral:rRNA from 1 species